GCCAAUAUAACCCCUUCGUAGAUCGCUCCCGAAGUUCUUUUCUUAUCAAACUUUUUAGUGCAGGGACUUGGUUGAUAGUAGGGGGAUGAUAAGACCCUAAAGUCUUAUCAUAAAAGAAAUGAAAGAAAUGAUAAGGCUCUAAUACCAAAUGAUAAGACUCUAAAGUCUUAUCGUCGCUCUGAUACCAAAUGAUAAGACCCUAAGGUCUUAUCGUGGAAGAAAGGGGAG
rnacentral:lncRNA from 1 species